rnacentral:rRNA from 1 species
UACGGAGGGUGCAAGCGUUAUCCGGAUUUACUGGGUUUAAAGGGUGCGUAGGCGGAUAGGUAAGUCCGUGGUGAAAUCCUGCAGCUUAACUGCAGAACUGCCAUGGAUACUAUUUAUCUUGAAUGUCGUGGAGGUUAGCAGAAUAUGUCAUGUAGCGGUGAAAUGCUUAGAUAAGACAUAGAAUACCCAUUGCGAAGGCAGCUAACUACGCGAUAAUUGACGCUGAUGCACGAAAGCGUGGGGAUCAAACAGG